UUUCACCGACCCCAGCCACAGCGGGCGGUCCGCGUCGCGGCCCUGGCCGUAGGUCGCCAGGAUUGCCUGUGCCUC
rnacentral:antisense_RNA from 1 species